AUUGAACGCUGGCGGCAGGCCUAACACAUGCAAGUCGAACGAGGGGCGGACGGGUGAGUAAUGUCUGAGAAACUGCCUGAUGGGGGGGGAUAACUACUGGAAACGGUAGCUAAUACCGCAUACUCUCAGCUGUGCCCAGAUGGGAUUCGCUUGUUGGUGGGGUAACGGCUCCCCAAGGAGACGAUCCCUAGCUGGUCAGAGAGGAUAACCAGCCAAACGGGAACUGAGACAGGGUCAAGAUUCCUACGGGAGGCAGCAGUGGGGAAUAUUGCACAAUGGGCGCAAGCCUGAUGCAGCCAUGCCGCGUGUAUGAAGAAGGCCUUCGGGUUGUAAAGUACUUUCAGCGGGGAGGCGUUACCCGCAGAAGAAGCACCGGCUAACUCCGUGCCAGCAGCCGCGGUAAUUC
rnacentral:rRNA from 1 species